GAUGAACGCUAGCGGCAGGCUUAAUACAUGCAAGUCGAGGGGCAGCACAGAUAGCAAUAUUGGGUGGCGACCGGCAAACGGGUGCGGAACACGUACACAACCUUCCUUUUAGUGUGGGAUAGCCCAGAGAAAUUUGGAUUAAUACCACAUAGUAUAUUGGAGUGGCAUCACUUUGAUAUUAAAGAUUUAUCGCUAAAAGAUGGGUGUGCGUAUGAUUAGGUAGUUGGUAGAGGUAACGGCUCACCAAGCCUUCGAUCAUUAACUGGUGUGAGAGCACGACCAGUCACACGGGCACUGAGACACGGGCCCGACUCCUACGGGAGGCAGCAGUAAGGAAUAUUGGUCAAUGGACGGAAGUCUGAACCAGCCAUGCCGCGUGAAGGAUGACGGCCCUCUGGGUUGUAAACUUCUUUUAUGUGGGACGAAAAAGGGCCAUUUUUGGUCAACUGACGGUACCAUAGGAAUAAGCACCGGCUAACUCCGUGCCAGCAGCCGCCGCGG
rnacentral:rRNA from 1 species